rnacentral:rRNA from 1 species
AAGCGGGAAGAGCUCAAAUUUAUAAUCUGGCACCUUCGGUGUCCGAGUUGUAAUCUCUAGAAAUGUUUUCCGCGUUGGACCGCACACAAGUCUGUUGGAAUACAGCGGCAUAGUGGUGAGACCCCCGUAUAUGGUGCGGACGCCCAGCGCUUUGUGAUACAUUUUCGAAGAGUCGAGUUGUUUGGGAAUGCAGCUCAAAUUGGGUGGUAAAUUCCAUCUAAAGCUAAAUAUUGGCGAGAGACCGAUAGCGAACAAGUACCGUGAGGGAAAGAUGAAAAGCACUUUGGAAAGAGAGUUAACAGUACGUGAAAUUGUUGGAAGGGAAACGCUUGAAGUCAGACUUGCUUGCCGAGCAAUCGGUUUGCAGGCCAGCAUCAGUUUUCCGGGAUGGAUAAUGGUAGAGAGAAGGUAGCAGUUUCGGCUGUGUUAUAGCUCUCUGCUGGAUACAUCUUGGGGGACUGAGGAACGCAGUGUGCCUU